UGUUCCCUUUAAGUGAAGAUAAGAAGUGUAACACUGAUAUCUGCAAUUCUGCCCAAAUGGCUGAUUAAAUGUUAACUAAAUAUUUCUUUAGAUAUAUAAUUAUGGGCUGGAAUGAGUGCAAGUCACAGAAUGACAGCUUCGAAGAUAAGAUCACAAAAGUGAGUGAUAAAGCCAUAGUGCUUGAAAAAAGAUCAUAUACUGUGGGCUAGUGUUUUUGGCACGCUGCUGCUUCGUCGCCAAAUCAAGAAGGUGUUAUCUGCUGUCUGCCCUCAGCAGGAGUGGUUCCUGAUCGACAGAUGGCGCUGUAUGCCUAUGCAGCAUUAAACCCUGAAAGGUUCGGCGGGACACUACACACAGACGGCUUAAGAAAUAGAUGGGCAGACAGUCGAAAACAAUAUUCAUACAAACAAGAUCAAGUAAUGUAAUGCAUUUGACCAAUUUACAAAUGUUUGUAUUAGUAUGGGAAGUUAGUUAUAAUUAACAGCCUAAGCAGCCUUUCAAGAAAUUAAAAAAAGAGUUUAGUCGUGUUAGACGCCAUAUUUAAUUUUUCGUGAUUGAUAACGAGGCCGUGGGGGAAACAUACACUGUGUGUUCGUCUAUCUGCUGGAGUUGCACAUGUUUUCUAGGUAAUGUGUACUCGGAAAAUAGUAUGCAAAUGAAGAAUCGCAGCUUUGGCAGUGGAGAAAGGUAAUCCGGACGGAUGGUCUCCAUGAAUCACCGCCACAUUAAGAGUUUCAGCCCUCUCAUUAUCCUGCACCACAUUCCCCCCAGGGGGCCGGUACUGUGCCUGAGCCUCACCACAUACAGCCGCUCAUUACCAAUCUGCCAACCGAGGCCUGGCUUGGCCAGAGUUCCUUGCCUUGCACAGGUAAGGGGCCUGGUUCCUUUCUCCACCUCCAUACAACAUCCACAGACUCAAGGGUGAACAGAAACAGCAUGCCUUUCAAAGAGGCGCUGCAGGUGUCACCAUCCCAGAAUCCACCAGCAGAACCCCUCCCCUCAUAUUUCCUGUCAAGAAACACAGAGGCUGAUGGGAGAGCAUGGAAUAAUGGUGCGCUCACAGAGGGGAUUCUCCACAGGUGCAGGACCACGAGGUCACAGAAUGUGUAGCAAGUGACCACCAAUUGAUGCCCCUCCCAAACAAGCAGAGAGCAACAGGGAUCUGACCCAUGGGCUUUGUCCCUGCUCCAUGUCAUUGUGGGAAAGAAAGAUGAUGAUAUUGAAUGACUACAAGGAGGAAACCACAUAUUUGCAGCCCAAGCAAACAAGCAUCACACUAAAGCAAAAGGUGAAAGCGUAAGAACCUAUUUAAAGAAAUAAACAAACACUGUUCUACUGCGAUUCAGUGUCAGAGAUAUUUACUCCCACAAAUGUGAAGAAUGAUUUAAUUUCAAAUGUUAGCUUUUCAGUUAAUGUGCUUUAAUUUUACUGCACUGGUUUCUCUCUUCCAUUUUCUGUACAGUCUAUAUAUUAAUUCAUAAAUCCUCUUAAUCUCACUCACUCAUUUGCACAUUCGCUCAGGCAUGCGUUCACACAGUCAAGUUGAGGCACUUAGACACGUUGUGUUCAGAUUCCUCGUGUCAAAACUGCCAACGCUCAGCUGAUUUGUGUCUUCUGAAUUAUUUCUAUAUUAAAUGGGUCUAUUUUAUUUUUACUACAACACAUAUCUAAAGAGACAAAACAUAAGCGUUUCCUACUGCAUUUCAAGCAAAAAUAGUCCCUCCCUGUGGCUCGACAGGUACUAUGUUGUUGCACAUGUUCAUUUGGACA